rnacentral:misc_RNA from 1 species
GAUAAGAACGCAGCGAAAUGCGAUAAGUAAUGUGAAUUGCAGAAUUCCGUGAAUCAUCGAAUCUUUGAACGCACAUUGCGCCCCCUGGCAUUCCGGGGGGCAUGCCUGUCCGAGCGUCAUUUCUGCCCUCCAGCCCGGCUGGGUGUUGGGCGCUGUCCCCCCGGGGACACGCCCCAAAGGCAGUGGCGGCGCCGCGUCGGGUCCUCGAGCGUAUGGGGCUUUGUCACCCGCUCGGGACGGACUCGUCGGCGCUGGUCUUCCUCCAGGCGACCCUUCGGGGCUCGUCUUCCUUCGGUUGACCUCGGAUCAGGUAGGGUUACCCGCUGAACUUAAGCAUAUCAAUAAGCGGAGGA